AUCACCAAGUGAUGAAGUGUUGAAAUAUCUUAGGACACCAUUGGACAUAACUGUUUAAAGUUGUGAAUGAAAAUGCCAUUUUUUUGAUGAUGAU